rnacentral:rRNA from 1 species
CAACCNGCCGAUAACUCCGGAAUAGCCUUUCGAAAGAAAGAUUAAUACCGGAUAGUAUACGAAUAUCGCANGAUAUUUUUAUUAAAGAAUUUCGGUUAUCGAUGGGGAUGCGUUCCAUUAGUUUGUUGGCGGGGUAACGGCCCACCAAGACAACGAUGGAUAGGGGUUCUGAGAGGAAGGUCCCCCACAUUGGAACUGAGACACGGUCCAAACUCCUACGGGAGGCAGCAGUGAGGAAUAUUGGUCAANNNGCGAGAGCCUGAACCAGCCAAGUAGCGUGAAGGAUGAANNNNCUAUGGGUCGUAAACUUCUUUUAUAUGGGAAUAAAGUUUUCCACGUGUGGAAUUUUGUAUGUACCGUAUGAAUAAGGAUCGGCUAACUCCGUGCCAGCAGCCGCGGUAAUACGGAGGAUCCGAGCGUUAUCCGGAUUUAUUGGGUUUAAAGGGAGCGUAGGUGGAUUGUUAAGUCGGUUGUGAAAGUUUGCGGCUCAACCGUAAAAUUGCAGUUGAAACUGGCAGUCUUGAGUACAGUAGAGGUGGGCGGAAUUCGUGGUGUAGCGGUGAAAUGCUUAGAUAUCACGAAGAACUCCGAUUG